rnacentral:tRNA from 1 species
UCCCUGGUGGCUCAGUCAGUAAAGAAUCUGCCUGCAAUGUAGGAGACCCAGGUUCGAUUCCUGGGUCGGGAA